CCAAGGGGAAGGAAAUCGAGAGUUUCACACAGGGAGUGGGCGGAAUUUACUGAGUUGGGAAAUUUACUGAAGCAGGAAAUUAAAUCACGCCUAACUCUCCCCUUAAUGCCAGGAGUGACUCAGAUGGAAGUAGACUGUGACAAAGAGAGGAUUGCUUGUCGAGAGAGAGAGGGAAUUAUCAGGCAGACUUCAGAGAUUCAACGUGCAAAGUGCUGUGGAGUUGGACUGUGGACUACCAAGGCCACCGUUUCCCAGGAACCGGACUGAUCUUCAGAAGGGUGAAUUCUCCGAACAAGGACCAUUCAUUUGAACGUUGGAGGAAGAAGAUCGCCGGACAAAAGGCCGCUGCGGUCAGAGGGAAAUUCCAGGAACACUUUGGCUCAUUUUUCUCCAGGAGGCUCAGGGUGCUUGACUUUGACCCCACCCCCCACCUUCCCUAAAUGGCUACAGGUGCGCCCUGGACUGAGGGGACAAUGUCUUCCUUCUGGUCCCUCCCGACUUCUAACGCCAACCUCACAGGUGCCAACAGCACCCAAGGGUGUCUCUUGAGCGCCGACUUCCAGUACAUCAUGUUCCCGGUGGUUUACAGCCUGGUUUUUGUCCUGGGCACCACCUCCAACGCCGCCGCCCUCUGGUUCUUCUUCAGGACCAAGGAGACCCUCUCGCCAUCCGACGUCUUCAUGGUCAACCUGGCCGCGAUCGACCUCCUCUUCGCCUUGACCCUGCCGUUCAGGAUUGUCUACCACGCCCUGGGCAAUGAGUGGAUCUUCGGCGAGUGGGGCUGCAAGAUCACGGGCUCCCUGUUCUUCGCCAACCUCUACGGCAGUACCCUGUUCCUCACCUGCAUCUGCGUGGACCGCUACAUCGCAGUGGUCCACCCUCUCCGCUCACUUGUUCUCCGCCGCCCCCGAUACCGGGCGCUGAUCUGCCUCGCCGUCUGGCUGGUCCUCGCCGCCUGCAUCCUCUACCUGAUGCUCAAGGGGCCACUGACCAGCCACUUCCCCGACGGCAGGACAGCUUGCCUGGAGAAUUUCUCCAGCGGCUCCUGGAGUGGCCGUAUCUCAAGCAUCAGCAUCGUCGGGGCGGUGAUAGGCUUCUUCAUACCCUUGUUGGUCAUCGCCGUGUGCUACCCUCUCAUCGCCCGGCGUCUAUUGGAGCCGACGGCCGGCAACGCGGUCCACGCCGUGAAGCGGCGAGCACUGCGGACCGUGCUGGUGGUCCUCGGUGUUUUCCUAAUCUGCUUUGUGCCCUACCAUGUUGUCCAGUUGGUCCAUACCCUCCUGCGCCUAAACCCGGGCCCGGCGAGCUGCCGGCUCAUCCGCUUCACCUACUCGGCUCGACGGGUCACCAUGGCCCUGACCAGCCUCAACAGUUGCCUCGACCCCCUGAUCUACUCGCUGGGACGCCGGUCCUCACCGUCACCCCGUGCCUGCUGUUGUGGCCGCCGGCGCCGAUUCUCCCUCAACGUCACCUUCCGCAGCAAGGAGACCGCCCAGAGCAAGAGCUAGGGCCCCCAGACAGGGCUGCGUCUAGACAGUACCCAGUGUCCAGUAUCUAGACACUACCCAGAGCAAGGGCUAAGCCCCCAGACAGUGCUGCGUCUAGACAGCACCUGGAUCUUGUCCAGACACUACCCAGAGCAAGAGGAGUCCUCCAGACAAGGCUAUGUCUAGACACCACCCAGUGUCUAGACACCACCACAGCAAGGGAUAGACCCCAGACAGACUGUGUCUAGACAACACCCAGAGUCUAGUGUCUAGAUAGUACCCAGAGCAAGGGCUAGUCCAUCGGACAGGUCGUGUCUAGACAGCACCCAGAGUCUAGUGUAUAGACAGUGGGGACCCAGACAUGAUCUUGUGUAGUCAGAGGGAAUCCAGACUUGGUCACUGUCUUAGUGACCAGACUUGGCCACUGUCUUAGUGACCAAGAUGUUGCUGUGUCUAGACAGCACCUAGAGUCUAGUGUCUGGACAGUUGGAGCCCAGCCAGGAAUAUCUCUAGACAGUGGGAGCCCAGACAAGAAUGCGUCUAGACACUGACCAGAGCAAGUGGAGAAGCCCAGACAGGCCGUGUCUAGACUGUACCCAGAGUCUAGUGGGAGAAUGGGGGAAGGGGGAAACUGUGAAGGUUACCCAAAACAGGAGCGUGAACUUUGAAAAUAGUGCCAAAACAUGGCGUAUCUUGCAUGCGGGCUCAGCAGACUAUUUAUGUACAUUUGCUAAUCGAGGAUAAUAUGGUAAUACUCUACCGGCCUGUUUAUAAGAAAAUAAUUUUAUUUUGUGUUUAC